GCGGGCUUAGCUCAGCUGGUUAGAGCGCACGGUUGUGGUCCGUGAGGUCACGGGUUCAAACCCCGUAGCUCGCCCCA
rnacentral:tRNA from 2 species